rnacentral:rRNA from 2 species
UGGGGAAUUUUGGACAAUGGGCGCAAGCCUGAUCCAGCAAUGCCGCGUGAGUGAAGAAGGCCUUCGGGUUGUAAAGCUCUUUCAGUCGAGAAGAAAAAGCUGCAGUGAAUAACUGUAGUUCAUGACGGUAUCGACAGAAGAAGCACCGGCUAACUACGUG